rnacentral:lncRNA from 1 species
AGAGACAAAAGACAGAUAACAAAUAGUAUCAUACUCAAGAUCCAAACGGGCUAAUAAUAUCCCUGCAUGUGCAUGGUAUGCAGAAUCAGAAAUACAGCACAGGCUAGCAAACACACAUGACAUAGGGCACAAAUGGCAUCUUCAAAGUCAUAAUUCAUCGCAGGCAAGACCCAAAAUUCGAAAGUGCAUCUCAUAAUUAACCGAAUCCAACAUAACAUAACAAAGGCAUAGCAGCUAUGCAGGCAAAAAGUAGACAACCUUGAUGUCCUGAGAUAACAUCCUAUCACACCGGUCUGAAAUACAACUUUCACAAAAUUUCCGCUCAGUAGAAAAAGCCUAGCACUUUGCCACCAACAUUCUUCCUCCUGGCUUCCUCGUGAUCCAUGAUGCCAGCAGAGGUUGUCAGGACGAUGUAGCCAAACUGCAGUUCAAACAGGUAAACUUGGUUAUAAUGAUGGUAAAAACUUGGAAGAGUCGUUACAGAUUGUGAGCUCAAAAUAUGGCAAUGCUACACAGUUUGCAGUGAAAUGAACAAGCAAAGAAGCUGACCUGACGAGAUGGAAGCAGCCUGGCGGUCCACCCCUCAAUCUCCUUGACACCAACAUCAAAACGGGGACUGAUGACUCCACACUUGUUCAGUCUCCCGUUCAACUCCACAACAAUCUUGCCAGAUCUGUGGUCAUCAACAUACUCAAACUCAC